rnacentral:rRNA from 1 species
CCUACGGGGGGCAGCAGUGGGGGAUAUUGGACAAUGGGGGAAACCCUGAUCCAGCGACGCCGCGUGAGUGAAGAAGUAUUUCGGUAUGUAAAGCUCUAUCAGCAGGGAAGAAAGAAAUGACGGUACCUGAGUAUGAAGCCCCGGCUAACUACGUGCCAGCAUCCGCGGUAAUACGGAGGAGGCAAGCGUUAUCCGGAAUUACUGGGUGUAAAGGGAGCGUAGGCGGUAAUGCAAGUCUGGAGUGAAAGGCGGGGGCACAACCCCAAAACUGCACUGGAGACUGUGUAACUGGAGUACAGGAGAGGUAGGCGGAAUUCGUGGUGGAGCGGUGAAAUGCGUAGAUAUUAGGAGGAACACCGAUGGCGAAGGCAGCCUGCUGGACUGUAACUGACGUUGAGGCUCGAAAGCGUGGGGAUCAAACAGGAUUAGAUACCCGAGUAGUC